AGCGAACGCUGGCGGCAGGCCUAACACAUGCAAGUCGAACGAACUCUUCGGAGUUAGUGGCGGACGGGUGAGUAACACGUGGGAACGUGCCUUUAGGUUCGGAAUAACUCAGGGAAACUUGUGCUAAUACCGAAUGUGCCCUUCGGGGGAAAGAUUUAUCGCCUUUAGAGCGGCCCGCGUCUGAUUAGCUGGUUGGUGAGGUAAAGGCUCACCAAGGCGACGAUCAGUAGCUGGUCUGAGAGGAUGAUCAGCCACAUUGGGACUGAGACACGGCCCAAACUCCUACGGGAGGCAGCAGUGGGGAAUCUUGCGCAAUGGGCGAAAGCCUGACGCAGCCAUGCCGCGUGAAUGAUGAAGGUCUUAGGAUUGUAAAAUUCUUUCACCGGGGACGAUAAUGACGGUACCCGGAGAAGAAGCCCCGGCUAACUUCGUG
rnacentral:rRNA from 1 species